ACCGGGCAUGGUGACACAUGCCUGUAAUCCCAGCAGCUCAGGAGGCUGAGGCAAGAGGAUUGAGAGUUUAAAACCAGCCUCAGCAAAAGUGAGGCACUAAGCAACACAGUGAGAUCCUGUCUCUA
rnacentral:sRNA from 1 species